GAUGAACGCUGGCGGCGUGCCUAAUACAUGCAAGUCGAGCGAACAGACGAGGAGCUUGCUCCUCUGACGUUAGCGGCGGACGGGUGAGUAACACGUGGAUAACCUACCUAUAAGACUGGGAUAACUUCGGGAAACCGGAGCUAAUACCGGAUAAUAUAUUGAACCGCAUGGUUCAAUAGUGAAAGACGGCUUUGCUGUCACUUAUAGAUGGAUCCGCGCCGCAUUAGCUAGUUGGUAAGGUAACGGCUUACCAAGGCAACGAUGCGUAGCCGACCUGAGAGGGUGAUCGGCCACACUGGAACUGAGACACGGUCCAGACUCCUACGGGAGGCAGCAGUAGGGAAUCUUCGGCAAUGGGCGAAAGCCUGACGGAGCAACGCCGCGUGAGUGAUGAAGGUCUUCGGAUCGUAAAACUCUGUUAUUAGGGAAGAACAAAUGUGUAAGUAACUAUGCACGUCUUGACGGUACCUAAUCAGAAAGCCACGGCUAACUACGUG
rnacentral:rRNA from 1 species